CGAGCCGGGCGGACGGUCGCGUCGGCGGGGAGACCCGCCGCCGAGGAAGGUCCGGGCUCCGAAGGGCAGGAUGGUGGCCAACAGCCACCCGGGGUGACCCGCGGGACAGUGCCACAGAGAAGAGACCGCCGGCCGCGCGCGAGCGGGGCCGGUAAGGGUGAAACGGUGGUGUAAGAGACCACCAGCGGCCUGGGUGACCAGGUCGGCUCGGUAAACCCCAUCCGGAGCAAGCCCAGACAGGAUGCGUUCGAGGGCGGCCCGCCCGAGCAUCCGGGUAGGGCGCUGGAGGUGGUCGGCAACGGCCACCCGAGAUGGAUGACCGUCACCGUGCGACCGGCGACGGCGCACGGCACAGAACCCGGCCUACAGCCCGGCUCGUCCC
rnacentral:RNase_P_RNA from 1 species